CGCGUAGGCGGUCGGGUAAGUCGAGUGUGAAAUUCCGGGGCUCAACCCCGCGAACUGCAUUCGAUACUGCUCGACUAGAGAGAGGUAGGGGCGAGUGGAAUUCCCGGUGUAGCGGUGGAAUGCGUAGAUAUCGGGAAGAACACCGGUGGCGAAGGCGGGCUCGCUGGGCCUUUUCUGACGCUGAAGCGCGAAAGCGUGGGGAGCAAACA
rnacentral:rRNA from 1 species